AGAAAAGCAAUGACGGAAAGAGUAGUUUAUCGGAAACAUACAGAGAGAAAAACAUUAGGUGGAAGUUUUUCAUGAAGGAAGAUAGACGAAAACCAUUCCAGAGCUGUAGCGCUGAAACAUAGUAUGCGCUACCGUAUGCCUGCGUUAAAGGAUAGGAUUUGAUAGAAUCUGAAGUGAAAAGUUAAGGUGGAACCGUGCAAUAGGAUUAUUUGCACCCUUAAG
rnacentral:ncRNA from 1 species